rnacentral:lncRNA from 1 species
CAACACUACAGACACUACACGAACAGAAAUGGAGGUCGAUCAAAAUAUCAUCGUCGCCGUGUGCGGCCGUCCUGUCCUGUACGACACCACGAUGGUGUCGUACAGGGACAGGAACAAAACAGAGAGGGCGUGGGUCGACGUGGCAGAGGAUAUUGGCGUUCCUGACCAGCCCAGCAGUGAGUCUGAUAUAGAGGACGCUGAUGCUGCUCCUGCUCCUGCUCCGGGCGGUAUGUACAGGACAAAGAUGUAUAGCAUUAAUUUCAGGGGUUCAACUAUGUUUAUGGCUAACCGUUUAAGCUUUAACUGAUAAGAAGACGGUUUAUGGAUUACUACUAGUGCCGUCAAGCAAUUUAAAAAAUUGAUCAAAUUAAUUACAGGCUCUGUGAUUAAUUCAUCUAAAUUAAUCGCAUACCUUUACGACACUUUUAUGCCCGUUUAUAAACAGCUGUAUAGCCUACCGUUCGUUUCUCUCCCUUCUCUCUCUCGUAACUUCUUGAUACUCCCCUGAUUAAUGAAUCGAAAUGAACGCGUUAAUUUGACAGCCCUAAUUACUACUAUAAGUUAAAGUUACAACACUUCAAACCAAACACGCAUGCAUGUUCAACAGGCUUUUCACUUGUGAAGUAUUGCACUAACUUACAAAUGAUGGUGUUUUACAUUCCAUACAGUGACGAAGAGGAAGAGAGCAGCCAGGGUACCGGAGGGGAAUACUGUCCAGACAGCCAUCCUCCAGGCCCUGCAGAGGCAUAAUUCUGUGCCUACCCCUACCCCCCUUUCUGGGAAUGAGCACUUUGCCAUGGGCCUAGUUCCUUCCCUGGAUAGAUUGCCACCUGAAGUACUGGAGUACGUUAAAUUCCAAAUCCGUAAAGUGAUAUUUGACCAUUCUAAUUUCACCGUUCAAUUGGAACCUAUUUAAGCUUAUUAGCUAGUGGUGGUGACAAUCUCUCCAGGGAAAGAACUAGGCUGAUGUCACUGUUAACUGUUCAUUUGUUAUUGUUCUGUUCUGUUUAUAUCAUAUGUUAUUUUAUUAUUUUUAUUUUUAUAAUUAUUUUUUAAAUAAAAUAUUUCUCACAACUCUUCUCUCAAUAUAUGAUUUUAAGUUCUAGCAUGCAUGGACACAAAUAUACAUUUUUAAUAACACUACUUAAUUGAACAAUUUUAAAAACAAUUUAAUAAUAAUGAAGGAAUCCCUUUUGUUUUGUGUGGGUGGCUCUUAAAAGAGCCGUUUUGGGGUUGUUGUGCA